UGACAAUAAAAUAAAUCUGGAACUCAAAAAUAAAAACUAAACUAAUAAUUUUUUUUUAUCUCAUUUAAAGAUGCAUUAAAUUCACAAAAUUAAUCCCAAAUCCACUUGCUGCCUCCUAUAUAAAACUGACCAUGCAAAAUAUUCCCUAAAUGUUAUAAACUGAUAAAACAAAUAAAUCUUGGUGAAUUGUGUCAUAAUAAAAUGUCAAAUAGAUGGUUUAUUAAUAUGAACACAAGCGUCUUCAUGCUGAACUGUGUUUUAGGGACUUGUCAAGAAAACCAAGUGGUUUGAUGAGUCACGUAACACGGCAGCGCUGAUGAUAAUCUACCGCUCGGUGAAGGAUCACGGUGUCGGUGUGUGUGUCUGUGUGAGUGUGUGUGUCCUGUACCUCUGUACAGCUGUGAUCUUUGUCAAAGCCGGUUGUUUCUCCCGUGUCGUUCUGUCAUGUUUCAGCUCUCAGUUUCUCGUUCAGUUUCUCCUCUUCUGAGAGACGAAAGUGAGUAGAAAGAUAGAAAAAGACUCUUCAGCGCCUGUUUCCUUUUACGUUUGUGUUCUCAGCUCUCUCUCUCUUUCUCGGGCUGUUCUGGGAUCAGAUGUUUGCACACAUGACAGAGCAGAUGAUGAGGUGUCAGGUUAAAGGUCAGGGGUCCUGCUGACUGAUGCUCUCUGCAGACCAGAACACACACACACACACACUCAAGUGACAUGAUGAAUAACACAAUUUAAAGGGAUAGUUCACUCAAAAAUUUAAAUUCUGGCAUCAUUUACUCACCUAACAAUUGACUUCUGUAGUACGGAAGAAGAUGAAAAAAUACUGGAAGCCAAUGGGGACCAGAAACUGUUUGGUUACCAACGUUCUUCAAAAUAACUCACACAAGUUUAGAGCAACUUAAAGGGAUAUUUCACCCAAAAAUUAACAUUCUGUCAUCAUUUACUCUCCCUCAUGUCGUUCCAAACCUGUAUGAGUUUCUUUCUUUAAAAGAAGAUAUUUCGAAGAAUGUUGAUAACCAAACUCUAUAUGACUUCUAUAGUAUUUUUUAUUUUCUUUCUGUACUAUGAAAGUCAAUGGGUUCCGGGUCGUACCUGUUUGGUUAUCAACAUUCUUGAAAACAUCUUCUUUUGUGUUUAAACUUAAGAAAGAAACUCAUACAGGUUUGGAACAACUUGAACAGGUUUGGAACACUGAACAGUCACUUUAAAUCAGAAUUAUUUGUAUCUUAGUUUAUGAAAACUUAGUUCUA
rnacentral:lncRNA from 12 species